rfam:Canis lupus familiaris chromosome 10, whole genome shotgun sequence.
GGAUGUGAAGGUAAUCUGGCUGUGACAUCUGUCACCCCAUUGAUCGCCAGGGUUGAUUCGGCUGAUCUGGUUGGCUAGGUGGGUGUCUCCUUCCUCCCUCACUGCUCCAUGUGAAUCCCUCCUGAAGCUGCAUGCUCCGUCAAAGAGGACGACUAUACCCAAUAAAGGAGGACCAUUCUUUGGUCAAGGGUUUACGAGUAGCUGCGCUCCCCUGCUAGAACCUCCAAACAAGCUCUCAAGAAAUUAGUGAAUGAAAAAAAAAAAAAAAAAGAAAUUAGUGAAUGGAGAAAAACAUGCCAUACUAA